AAGCAAGCUCUGGAGGGCUCUCCCUCUCUGCGCCCUGUACGCCCAAAAACAACGCAAAACUACAAAAACCCACUUGUGUAAUUCCCCUCCCCCCACAUGGGGCCUCAAACCCUUCACCCAGCCUAAACUGCACAGAAUCUAUAUGCAUGCAUGUCCUCUCUGCGCUUCGGUUCUAUGCUUCAGCUGUUCUGCUAUUUCCAUUUUAUAGUUACUGUCUUCAGUUCAUUGGCAAAAUAAUAUGUUCAUCAAAUUUAUAACCCAGUUUUUAGUUAUAUUGCUGGCCUAAUUAUUUGAUGGGAGAUAAAAAAAGAAAAAGUAAUAAUAAUAGAUGGCCGAGGCCGAGAAGUACGAAAACAGUAAAGGGAGUGCAGAAACAUUCACGUGGACUCGACCGUAAAUACAUUGGACCCAUCACGUGGGGCCCUUCGAUCAGUCAAUGAAUAAUCUAUUCAUUCGGUAAGUCACGCGCCGAUUGAGCGUGGAAUUGAAUGUUCUAUUGUUCGUCCCCGUUGAACCUACGUGGCAAGAUUUGAGGAGUGAAUAUCUGUCUUGUUCUUGAUUCCGGAGGCUUCAUGCGUUGCCACGUCGAUUGACACUAAUCCUUAUUCCCUGCUCGGAAAAUUAAUUUUUGCAACACUAAAUCUAUUAUUGUGUACGUAGUUAUCUUUCUCAGAAAAUUAUGGACGAAAGAGAAUGGAUGACAUAUCUAUUGGCGUGAUUUAUAUGGAAACGAAAUGGAUUGAUUCGGCAGAGAAGUAGGAGAGAGAAAGAGAAAGGUAACAUGUUUGUGACGUAGGAGAUGAGCAUAUAAAAGAUUAAGAUGGUUAGUGUUAUUGUUUGUAUUGCAUCUGCACGUAUAAUAUUACUAACACUGACACGCAAUGCAAGUCAUUAACCUCGCUGAUUACGCUCUAACGUCAACUGAAAUGCCUACUACUUACUAGAAAAUGCAUUUGCGGCGUUUUCUGAAACUGGUACCAUCAUUACUUCUCGUAAAAUUUUUAAAAAUAAAAGAAAGAAAAAGAAAAAUACUUCAUUUAUUAUUACAGAGCAAAGAUGCCUCAAAAUGCGAGCUUUUCAGAUGCUCUUCGCUGCCCGCAAAUAUCAAAGCCAAAGUGUUGUCAGCCGAAUUUAGUAGAGAAUCACCUCCGUCAAAUCAGCUCAGCUGGAAUUCUUUUUCUUCAAUGAAAAAUAAAAAUAGAUUAAGCUAUACGCAGAAGAGGAAGGCGAGGGAGAAGUUGACGAUGGAAGAGCAAAAUUACAGCUAUGGGAUUCCUUGUUUACUUAGGACUUCAUGGACUCCUAUGAAUCCAAGAAGGAGAUUUGUGAAUUAUUCAAGGCGAAAUAAUAGUUGUAGAUUUUUCCAAUGGAUUGACCUCCCAAUGUAAUCAAGGGCCAGACAAAUAAUACAUGGCUUAUUGCAAAGGGUUGAAAUGGCAAAAUUGCAGCUAUAAAGGAGUAGAGUGAGAGAGAAGAUCUUGUGGGUACUAUUGGGUUUAAUAAUUUUUAUUGUCGUUUUGAAAUGAUAUAUAAUAAUGUUCUAAGAUGGGGAAUGGUAGUGUUAGAUUCUGUUCAGUUGUUUUGCAAACCAUUAUAAUGCUAUCAGAUGUAGGUUGUGAAGUUAUAGAAAGAAUGUGUUUGUGAUAGAUGAAAUGUGAAGUUGUAGUAAGAAUAUUUUUGUAAUAGAUGAAAUGGCUACUAAAUGUAUAAAUUUAUAGUUUAUGAAUGAAAUGAUACUUUGCUUAUGACUA